AGCCGUAAGUUUUAAAAACACUCUAUCAAGGUAAGGAAGUUUCUCUCUAAUCCUAGCUUGUUGAACAAUUUUUUUCUUCAUGAACGACUGUUGGAUUUUUUCUUUUUUUUUUUCCCCCCCCCUUAAAUAGCUGUUUAUUUGGCAGUGUUCUGGAAAGGGUGAUGGACUCAGCAUUCACAGACGACACCAUACACCACUGUCACGAGGGAGGCAAGAGCGCGGGCAAGCCAGUCUGGAGCCCCGAGGAGGAGGCCCCCUCUUCAAGAGUGGGAGGGGGCGGGGCCUGGAGUGUUGGGGGCAGCCUGGGAACACCUCCGCUUAAUAGGCGUGGUUAGAGACGAAGAGGGACUCGCUAGCAGCAGCUCCGGCAUGACCGCUCGGGGUGUACUUUCCUUGACAGGCAAGGCUGUUGGCCAGGGCUCGGCCAUAAGAGAAGGUCAGGGCCCAGGGCUUCAGCAGGGGGCACUUGUUAAUGGCAUUGAGGUUGAUGGAUGCCUCCUCCUCACUCUGGCCUCCAGACAGGAAGGUGAUCCCAGUGACAGCCGGGGGAACUGUGCGGCGCAGCGCUGUGACGGUCGCCAUGGCAAUCUCCUCAUGAGAAAACUUCUGGGUGCAAGCGUGGCCUGGGGUGACCAUAUUGGGCUUCAGCAAGGUGCCUUCCAGGUAGAUGUGGUGGUCGCUCAGAGCCUUGUAGACAGCAGCCAGCACCUUCUUGGUCACAUACUGGCAGCGCUUCAAGUCAUGGUCCCCAUCAGGGAGGAUCUCAGGCUCCACGAUGGGCACAAUGCCAUUCUGCUGGCAGAUGCUGGCAUAACGGGCCAGGACAUUGGCAUUUUCCAUGAUGGCGAGGGCUGAGGGGGUGUGUUCCCCAAUUUUCAGCACACAACGCCACUUGGCGAAGUCAGCUCCAUCCUUCUUGUACUGGGCACAGCGCUCAGACAGCCCAUCCAACCCUUGGGUGGUAGUCUCGCCAUUUGUCCCUGCCAGGGGAACCACGCCCUUGUCUACCUUGAUGCCCACAACACCGCCCUUGGAUUUUAUAACUUGGGGGAAGGGACGACCAUUAUCCGCCUUCUGGUAGAGUGUCUCGUGGAAGAGGAUGACACCCCCAAUGCAGGGGUUCACACGGUCGUCAGCUGUCAGCAGCAGCUGGCGGUAGAAGCGCCGGUUCUCCUCGGUGUUCUCGGUGCCAAUGGACUGCAGCCUCUUUGACAAUGCUCCCAGUGGACUCAUCUGCAGCCAGGAUGCCCUUGCCGGGUGCCACGAUGCGGUGAGCGACGUCAGACAGCUCCUUCUUCUGCUCCGGGGUCAGCGCUGGAUAUUGGUAGGGCAUGGUGCUGGUGGUAGCAAGUUCCUGGCACAGAAGAGGGGCGGGUGUGCAGGGUGCGGCGGCAGAGGGCGGCGGGCUGGCGAGUGGACUCAGGGAGCGAACGCGGCACUCGUCACCAGGACCCCUUCUGCCUGGAUUUUUUCAAAUGCAUCUCUGCAUCAAUUAAUAUGAUUACGUUUUUUUUCUUGUUUAGCCUGCUGACAUUGUAAAUUACACUGAUUAAUUUUUUUAAUAUUCAACUAGAAUUACAGCCUCUGGAAAAAAAUCUACUUGGUCGUGUUGUAAAAUUAUGUAUAGACAUAGCUAGAUUCUGUUUUGUAACUGAAAGGACACAAAGAUAGAUGUGUACCCGCCCCCCACCCGCUACACCCUUGUUCUGCUCUCUAAUCUUUGCACAUACCAGAGAUUUCGUAAGUUCUGUGAGUACCUGGUUUUCUGCACGUACCAGAGAUUUUGUUUUGCACAUACCAGAGAUUUUGUAAGUUCUGAGGCAAGGUCACAAGACGUGUUUAAGUAAGAUAAACUCUUGCUGCCAUAAACCUGCUCUCCCGCCUCAAAGUUUGAACCAAAAUAUCAGAAAUGGCAGGAACCAAUCAUAGUUAGCCAAAUCGCCUUGUUCAAACACUAGCCAAUCAUAUAUCUGAUUUGUAUAAUAACUCUAUGCCCACUUUUCUUAGACUGUAUAACAUUGUUCGGAGCUGAGUGGGGGAGCUCUCCUGCCCGUCUCGUUUCACGAGCGAGGGAGAGUUCCAGGUUCGAACCUGUAAUAAAGAUCCUUGCUGCUUAGCUUUGACUCUGGACUCUGGUGGUCUUCUUCGGGGAAUAAACGGUCUGGGCAUAACAUAACAACUUGGUAGAUUUUUGUGUAAAUCUGUGAGAGAUAUUUAUCUGUAAUUUUCUUCUUCUAUACUUUCUUUGUUCCGUUAUGGUAUUAGAAAAACACUGGCCUCGUAAAAUGAAUUGUAAAGUGAUCCUUCACUUUUUAUUUUGAGUAAGAAAUUGUGUAAAAUUGGUGUUAAUUUUUCUUCAAAUAUUUGGUAGGAUUUUCUGGUGGCAUUAUCUGUGCCUGGGGAUGGUUUUAGAAGGGUUUUAACUGUAAUUUAAUUUUUAAAUAGUUCUAGGACUAUUUUAAUUAUUUAUAUCCUAUUGGUUGGCUUUUGGUAGUUUGUAG
ensembl:lncRNA